GACGAACGCUGGCGGCGUGCUUAACACAUGCAAGUCGAACGGGAUCCAAGGGCUUUUUGUUUUUGGUGAGAGUGGCGAACGGGUGAGUAACACGUGAGUAACCUGCCCCCUUCUUUUGGAUAACCGCAUGAAAGUGUGGCUAAUACAGGAUAGUCCAGGCUGGUCGCAUGAUUGGUUUGGGAAAUGGUUUGGUCUGGUGGGGGAUGGGCUCGCGGCCUAUCAGCUUGUUGGUGGGGUGAUGGCCUACCAAGGCGGUGACGGGUAGCCGGCCUGAGAGGGUGGGCGGUCACACUGGGACUGAGAUACGGCCCAGACUCCUACGGGAGGCAGCAGUGGGGGAUUUUGCACAAUGGGCGCAAGCCUGAUGCAGCGACGCCGCGUGAGGGAUGGAGGCCUUCGGGUUGUGAACCUCUUUCGCUGGGUUGAAAGGCCAUGCUUUGGGUGUGGUUGAUUUGAACUGGUAAAGAAGUACCGGCUAACUACGUGCCAGCAGCCGCGGUAAUACGUAGGGUACUAGCGUUGUCCGGAUUUAUUGGGCGUAAAGGGCUUGUAGGUGGUUUGUCGCGUCUGUCGUGAAAUCCUGUGGCUUAACCAUGGGCUUGCGGUGGGUACGGGCAGGCUUGAGUGCGGUAGGGGAGACUGGAAUUCCUGGUGUAGCGGUGGAAUGCGCAGAUAUCAGGAGGAACACCGGUGGCGAAGGCGGGUCUCUGGGCCGUUACUGACACUGAGGAGCGAAAGCGUGGGGAGCGAACAGG
rnacentral:rRNA from 1 species